CGUGUCCUUGAGCUUGAGCAGCAGGCAGUGAAACUACUGAGCCAAAUCCCCGGCCCCUAGACUGCCCAUUUUGGGCAGAUAGCAACAGUUAUAUCUUCAGCAUCAGCAUUGUUGCCUUGUGUUGAGAACAUGAUGGCUGCAGUUAUCCAGAAGAGUCACACUUUGAAAUCUGGAGAAACUGAAUUAGGUGAUCAAGCACAAAAGAGGAAGACAAAGGGAGAACCACAGAGAACAUUCAUGAAAAACUUCAUUUAACAGGAAUUCUUAAUGAGAUGAAGAUGUGCAAUGGCCAAUAAGAAGGGAGACUUCCUACUACAGAAGGACCUAAUCAGAGUCAUGAAAGGAGAAAUGGAGAAGAAAAGUCUAUACACAUACAUUUGCUGCCUAGUAAGCCAUGCAGAAACUUGGCAACAUUAAAGAAGCAUUUGUUGUUCACACGGGUUCUAUGCAUCGGAAUUUAGACAAAGCUGAGUGGAGAAGGGUUGGCUCUGCACCUUGAUAUCUGGGACCUCAAAUGAAGAAACAAGCAGAUUUGGGGAACUUGACAACUGGGGUUUAGCAUCUGUAAACACAAAUGCAUUCACAGUUUUGUGACCAGUGAAGACUUGGUGACCAAAGAAGAGUCAGCCGAGAUUGUGGACCAGAGCACAUGCAUGUGGCUUUUUCAUGUAACCCGAGCUUCUGCACAGUAGGGCAGUUUGGGGGCAGUUGGAUU